AACGAACGCUGGCGGCAUGCCUAACACAUGCAAGUCGAACGAGACCUUCGGGUCUAGUGGCGCAAGGGUGCGUAACGCGUGGGAACCUGCCCUUAGGUUCGGAAUAACUCCCCGAAAGGGGUGCUAAUACCGGAUAAUGUCUUCGGACCAAAGAUUUAUCGCCUUUGGAUGGGCCCGCGUUGGAUUAGCUAGUUGGUAGGGUAAAAGCCUACCAAGGCGACGAUCCAUAGCUGGUCUGAGAGGAUGAUCAGCCACACUGGGACUGAGACACGGCCCAGACUCCUACGGGAGGCAGCAGUGGGGAAUAUUGGACAAUGGGCGAAAGCCUGAUGCAGCAAUGCCGCGUGAGUGAUGAAGGCCUUAGGGUUGUAAAGCUCUUUUACCCGGGAUGAUAAUGACAGUACCGGGAGAAUAAGCUCCGGCUAACUCCGUG
rnacentral:rRNA from 1 species